rnacentral:rRNA from 1 species
GAUGAACGCUGGCGGCGUGCUUAACACAUGCAAGUCGAACGGAAAGGCUCCUGCUUGCAGGGGUACUCGAGUGGCGAACGGGUGAGUAACACGUGGUGAUCUGCCCUGCACUUCUGGAUAAGCUUGGGAAACUGGGUCUAAUUCCGGAUAGGACCCCCCUUCGGAUGGUGGGGUGGAAAGUUUUUCGGUGGGGGAUGGGCUCGCGGCCUAUCAGCUUGUUGGUGGGGUAGUGGCUUACCAAGGCGUCGACGGGUAGCCGGCCUGAGAGGGUGAACGGCCACAUUGGGACUGAGAUACGGCCCAGACUCCUACGGGAGGCAGCAGUGGGGAAUAUUGCACAAUGGGCGCAAGCCUGAUGCAGCGACGCCGCGUGGGGGAUGACGGCCUUCGGGUUGUAAACUCCUUUCGCUAGGGACGAAGCGCAAGUGACGGUAACGGGAGAAGAAGCACCGGCUAACUACGUG